AAACUUAUCCUAGAGUGUGUACAUCUCUUCUCCCAUUUCUCUUGUCCACCGCGGAGGAGGAAACAGAUCGAGCCUGCCCUCGCGUGACCGGAGUGGCCAUGCCUAAUCGAGUCGGUAGCCCGUGCAUGGCCAAUGAUAGGAAGGGGAUCCUCCAGGUCUGACUCCAACCACGGUUGUAUCGCCGCCCACCAGCCAGGGCGCAUCUCACCGUCGCCGAGCUGGAAAGGCGGAGGGUGGUCGCCGGCGAGGCCACUGGUGCCGGUACAGAUAGGUGAUUUUCUUCCUAUUUUAAUUCCUUGGGGUGGUGGAUUUGAUCCUUGGGAGACGCAUGUGGCUGGAUGAGUGCGUGGAUCAAACUUUCACUGCUUGAGGCUCGUUGCAGUGGCCGAGGUUCUGGAUGUUGGUUUCUGCUGGCCGCUGCUUAGUUGCUACCCUCAUUCUUUGUGUUGUCAGACUCCUACCAUUAGUGGUGCCUAUGACAUUGAAGAUUUGUUUGUUUUUGUUAAAGUAUCAUUCAAGUACAACAUCUGAAGCCUAUCAUCAUGCACAACUUACUGCAUAGUUUCAUGUGACGAAGAUGAAUCAAAACAUAAGACUUGUUCCACAUAUUUGAUCUAUAAUCGCUGGGUUUCCUGAGAUCAAUUAGUGGUGAGGGAUUUCACGGAGCAUGGACCACCAGUUGGUGAAUUUCUGGGACGAAAUCACUUUACUGGGUCCAAGCUUGUUGGUGGAAGGGCAUCAAUUCCAGGGCAGCAUAUGUCACAAAGUAGUGGUUGGCCAAGGUAGGCUAAUGGAGAACAGUUGCAUUUGAAGCACAUGGCAGAGGGUGGAACCGCGGCUAUGGUCCAUGAGAGGUAUGGGGUAACGGCGGCAUAUUCGUAUAAGGAGAUCACGGGGCAAAUAAUGUAGCAGCAAGAUGAGCAGCGCAUGAGGGCGGCCACUGUUGUUACCCUCCUCAUUGUUGUUGCUGCCGGAAUCCUAUCAAAUAAGCCACGAAAUUGAGGUAUGUAGAAGAUGAACAAACCUGAGAACUGAUGAUCCAAUGAAGAGUCGAAGCUUAAGAAUCACAUAGCCGUCAGCUAUGGUGGCUUGUGGGCGGAUGUGUCUCAGACCUAAGUUGUUGCCGCUGGACCGUGGUUACAUUCAUCCUAGCUUGGAGGAAACGGUGCGGGAAGAUAUGCAUGUGCAGGGCGAAGAAGUGGACGAAGGCCGAAGAAGCAAUCUCUGCCUCCCUAUCGCUGCGUCCUGCUUCUCAAUAUGUCACCUUAGUCAUGGCCACCUUAUCCCUCAUGCUACUGAUUUGAACCUGCCCUACUCUUCUUCUCCUGGGCUGCUCGAGUGCUUCAGCGGGUGCCUUGCCGACGACAGGGAAGGAAGGACCAGAGAGCCACGAAAUUGAGGUACGCAGAAGAUGAACAAACCUGAGAAUUGAUGAUCCAAAGAAGAGUCGGAGCUCGAGCAUCACAUAGCCGUAAGCUAUGGUGGCUUGUAGGCGGAUGUGUCUCAGACCUAAGUUUUUGCCGCUGGACCGUUGUUACAUUCAUCCUAGCUUGGAGGCAAUGGUGUGGGUGGGUAUGCAUGUGCAAGGCGAAGAAGUGGACGAAGGCCGAAGAAGCAAUCUCUGCCUCCCUAUCGCUGCGUCGUGCUCCUCAAUAUGUCACCUUAGUCAUGGCCGCCUUAUCCCUCAUGCUGCUGAUUUGAACCUGCCCUAUUCUUCUCGUAGGCUGCUCAAGCGCUUCAUCGGGUGCCUCGCCAAUGACAGGGAAGGAAGGAUCAUAAGUGAUGGCUAUAGCGCCAGGAAUUUGGAAACCAUAGCAAUUGAUCUUCUUUAUAAAACGUGUGUGGCAAGGGACGUGUAACCUGCUUCAGGAAAGAAGAGAUGGAUCAUGUGAGAAAAGAGACCAGCUUUGAUCCUUUAUUGGACAGACAAUUGUUUUUUUGCCAAUUGCCUAGUCCAUAUUGUCCAUGUAUUAAAAGCAUGCAAACGUGUGGCUCCUGGAGUUUGUAUUACUCUUGGAUUUGGAUAUGUGUAAGCGCUUUGUUUUUUAUUU